CGUCUUCAGGAAGUCGAACUUCACCAAAACGUAAACAUGAUGCCCAAGCAUUACAAAUUCACGACGGUGCUCUGUGUUUAAAGGAAGGAUUACAGAGAUGAGAAUGUGAUACUGUACACAGACACGUGAAGAGGAUAAGGACAGUCUAUCCGGAGUGAGCGCUUCUGAUGAGAUCAGCAGAGGCGGUGUGUGAGUGACAGUGCACUUCUGGAUGCUACAGAGGACAGACGAAUACAAGCAACUGAAGCCCUUCACCAAAGGCCCUUUCUCAAAGCUAGCGGUGAACCCUGUCUCCCCGUGCUCCCCCAAACUGGACAGAUGGAGAGAGGAUGGCUCCUGGGCAGGCUCCGUCUGGCCACGGAGGCAGUUCAUCUUGGCGCGGCAGACAGUGGUGUUGUGUAGGCGCUUCCCAAAAACGAGCCUUGGUAGCCGGUGUCAGGCCAGACGGAGUGAGAGAAGUGACGGGGGCGCCCACGCGUGACACACGAGUCUUGUGGAAAAAUGGGAGGAAGUGAAGUGACGGCCGGUACCACCGCCAAAUCCGAAACCUCCAUGCCACAUGUCACACGCGAGAGCAUCUCAGACUGGGGUAAUACGUGUGACCCAGAACAUAUUACUACAGUACAUCACCAUCCUGAUCUAUACAACAUGGCCCAGACCUGUGCCCUGGAGUGACGUGACAAACGGGAUUAUCCCCUGUUGACAAGACUCUGAUCCUGGCCCGGCCAAGCUCCCACUCCUGGCCUUUUCUAAUGGAACCCCUGGCCCUACCAUCGCAUUUCCACCCGCCCCAAACCAACAGUCUAAUCCAUCAUGCUCUGUCAAAGGCAUCCCAGGAUCUCCGCCUCCUCACGGGUCAGCAUUAUCCUAAUCCAGUGGGUCUGUGGCCCGAUCUCCCGGUGUCCUGUUUACCCAGCACAUCUGAGUCAACAGCAACGGUGGGACCUGUAGCUCUCAUCUCACUAGGUCUCGGCUGGGUGUGCCUUUGACAUUUACAGGUUUGCCCCGCCGUCCUGGAGACAGGCAACAUAGCAAUCCAGAUGGCAAAUAUAUACAACAGAGGAAAACUAUGACUGUGCUAAGAUGUGAUAUUGUCACAUGAAAGAGCUGAAAGAAAAGAGUUCUGGUUAACUUCAGAAUCGUUCAGUGUAUGUGUCUAAACCCAAAGACAGUUUUGGCCAGUCUGUAGCUUGUUCUCCUUAUUGUAUUGUAAUACAGGAAAAUUGCAGUAUUAUGCUUUAGUUACUUUAAGAAGCACAUCUCCAAAUUUAACAGCAAGAGCGACAAUGGACCUGCCAAAAACAUCUGAAACCUAAAAGCAUUAUUUUCAAAGAAAGAAUUGUAAAAUGGGGUUCACAAAACCAAUGACGAAUUAAAAUGCCCCCCCCCCCUCUUACACACACCAAAUGCCCAGAAGCAAUUUGUGACACUUGUGCCAUUCAUAGGCCUGCAGAUAAAUAUUGAGAACCAAGAGCACCCUCUUGUGGUCUAGAUGUGUAAGACAGUUUGGUUGUGUUGUAGCAAGAUUGAAAGAAUAGUUGAUAUCA